rnacentral:piRNA from 1 species
UAUAAAGAGGUGGUCUCAUUCUCGUGACAGU